AAGGAUGGAAACAUAGAAUGAUAGCAAGGUAAUGAGUUUGAAUUGGGUACUAGAGUACUAAUUUAUCAAAGCAAUUAUCUUGGCUCAUCAGAUCGGCCAAUGGAUCGAACUCCUUCUGUCUUCUAGAGGAGCAAUGAAGUGAGACACUUCCCCCGGUUCAUGGUUCCACUAUCAUCUUGCCAUUAGAUGGGAAUACACUGUGCUUUCAUUCCACAGAGCUCGGCAAUGACAACAGCAAAGAACCACACCACAAAGCAAGAUGCUACCAUGGUACGUCUCUCUCUCUCUCNNNNNNNNNNNNNNNNNNNNCGUCUCUCUCUCUCUCUCUCUCUCUCUCUCUCUCUCUCUCUCUCUCUCUGUGUGUGUGCGUGCGUGCGUGCGAGUGGGUGGGUAGCUUUUGCACGCUGAAUACCAACCCACUGGGCCAGUAUUUAUGCCAUAGCCAUGAGUAUAUAUUCCACUGCUAUCAGGGGCUAUGAAUGGCAGCACAAACAUGUGGACAGCUUGUUCCCCUUGUGGGGACUUGAUUGCUCUUCGACCAUACUGCUUUCUUCACUCUAAGACAGACGAUAAAAUGCUGGUUGAUAUCAUGAGCAGCAUCACUCUAGUUACAACCUCACGAUUCCGUGGAUUUGGAAAUCGAGCAUCACGCGCCCAGGGUUCCAUGCAUCUGCCUGCUGCUUGGCACUUACAGUCGAAGCAAGGUUUUUUAUUGAUGCCCGACUAGUUCGGCAGCAUCAUUUUAUAUUUUUUUUUCUUUUUGGAUGAAAAGCAGCAAGCAUGCCAUCCG
rnacentral:lncRNA from 1 species